CGCCCGCUUAACUUUUGCAAGUCGAGCGAUGAAGUUCCUUCGGGGACGGAUUAGCGGCGGACGGGUGAGUAACACGUGGGCAACCUGCCUCAAAGUGGGGGAUAGCCUUCCGAAAGGGAGAUUAAUACCGCAUAAAAUCAGUUCUUCGCAUGAAGAGCUAAUUAAAGGAGUAAUCCGCUUUGAGAUGGGCCCGCGGCGCAUUAGCUAGUUGGUGAGGUAAUGGCUCACCAAGGCAACGAUGCGUAGCCGACCUGAGAGGGUGAUCGGCCACAUUGGAACUGAGAUACGGUCCAGACUCCUACGGGAGGCAGCAGUGGGGAAUAUUGCACAAUGGGCGAAAGCCUGAUGCAGCAACGCCGCGUGAGUGAUGAAGGUCUUCGGAUUGUAAAGCUCUGUCUUUGGGGACGAUAAUGACGGUACCCAAGGAGGAAGCCACGGCUAACUACGUGCCAGCAGCCGCGGUAAUACGUAGGUGGCAAGCGUUGUCCGGAUUUAUUGGGCCUAAAGGAUGCGUAGGCGGAUGUUUAAGUGAAAUGUGAAUACCCCGACCUCA
rnacentral:rRNA from 1 species